AGUUUGAUUAUGGCUCAGGAUGAACGCUAGCGGGAGGCCUAACACAUGCAAGCCGAGCGGGAUUUGUUGGUUAGCUUGCUAACUAACAAUGAGAGCGGCGUACGGGUGCGUAACACGUGUGCAACCUGCCUUUAUCUGGGGGAUAGCCUUUCGAAAGGAAGAUUAAUACCCCAUAAUAUAUUGAUUGGCAUCAGUUAAUAUUGAAAGCUCCGGCGGAUAGAGAUGGGCACGCGUAAGAUUAGCUAGUUGGUGAGGUAACGGCUCACCAAGGCUGCGAUCUUUAGGGGGCCUGAGAGGGUGAUCCCCCACACUGGUACUGAGACACGGACCAGACUCCUACGGGAGGCAGCAGUGAGGAAUAUUGGACAAUGGGUGAGAGCCUGAUCCAGCCAUCCCGCGUGAAGGACUAAGGACCUAUGGUUUGUAAACUUCUUUUAUACAGGGAUAAACCUACUCUCGUGAGGGUAGCUGAAGGU
rnacentral:rRNA from 1 species